CCUAGGCACCUAACGAACACACAUAUUCUUUUCCAUUCACACUUUGACACAGUCACAUGUUGCUCUUGCCUGAUCCCCUUUCUCUCCGCUCACUCCUAGAUUGCUGCCGCUGGAUAGCUCCCAUCAGCUUGCUGCACUAAUUCGGUGCCCUGAGCUUGCUCGUCCUCAUUUGUAGCGACCCCCACCGCUCGAUUCGCUGGAUCGGCCAUAGGGUGACCUCCGACGGUGGCUGGUUUGUCUCGUGAACGGCGAUGGAGGGGGUAGUAGGGCCAAGGUGGAGCUGCACAAGGGAGGAGGCGAGAUCGUCGAUCUGCAAGGUGAUGUUACUCUCGGCGUCGGUGCAGGUGAUGUUGGUGUGGAUUUAGUCUCCCGCAGCCAGUUUGAUCCAUUUUAGUAUGAGGAUGCUGUAGACGUUUUCUGCGCCUAGAGCGCCAGCCAGAUGCAUCCUCCACAUCUCCAACAUUCUUCGAAGUUCGACCUGCAGGAUUGUUUGCAGUGCAAGGUAAAUAGGUGGCUCUCUGAAUGGUGGCAAGCAACGUUUCCCUGUUGGUACCAUAGUCCCAAAGAUGGCAUGCUUUUCGCUCUACCUAUCGUUCUUUCGUCGUACCAAAAAAUUCCACCCCAUCAUUCACACUUGUAUCUUGUUUUUUCGAAGUCCCAAGUUUCCAUACCAUUCCUUUCCAAUGUCCUGUCCAAGUUUCUGAAUUUACCAUCAAUUUUAAUAUUAGUAAUGUCUCGUAUUGUUGAUACUGAAAAAAGUAUUUGGGGUUUGUUUCUUUCAUGUACAUUUUUUUGUUACUUUUAGUAAUGUACACUUUUUAUUAGUUUUAGUCAUGUACAUGUACAUAACAUAAAUGAGGUUCAUGAAUGUCCAGAUUUUAGAUGUUGAUUGUAUUUUGUUCUUGCUUACCUCAUAGUCUCACCAGUCCGGCUGAUUAGUGCUUUUUUUUGUCGAUUGUUCUGCAACCCUCUUGCUUUGUAUUUUUCUUUUCUAUGUAGUCUUGCCUCUUUAGCUUUGUCUGUUGAGUUAAUUGCCCUCCAUAAACAUAAAUACCAAUUAGUAGAAGUAAGAUAUGGAAUUUUCUUCAUAAGAAAUUUAUUACUCGUGGCGGUGGUCAAUGUACAUGACAUUGUUCCUUAUGGCAAUGAAACAUUUUUUCCCUUAGUAUUGGUUUAGAUAGAGUGCAUGGGUAUGUUUUAUCAUGAUUUUAUUGAAAGCAUACUUCAUAGCUAUAGGUAGAACUAAAUGUAACAUGUUUUUGUGAUUUAAUAGCACAAUUUAAAUUAGCUACACUUGAAUAUAUGGAAAUGCAUGGGCGAUGGACUUUAUAACCACUUGUUCACGGUAAAAUGUGUAGGAUAUAAUUUUAGUACAUCAAAUCCAUUGAGUUAAUGAAGGAAUAUUUUUAUGGUAAAAAAGAUCGGUGGACAAAGAUAGAAGAAUUGAUGUGCAAAGCAUAAGCAAGGUACAUAAUUUGCUUCAUGUAUACUAUACUACCAAGUGUGCAUCAUUAGUGGUAAAAUUUAGAACCAAAUGGAUGAUGAUACACAUAAGGGUAAAACUUUGUGAAUAUUUUCUUACUUCACGUGGAUCAAAGGUUGUUCUUUUGGUGUAGCUGUUUAGUGUGGGACAUCCCUAUGCAUGAUUGAAGGCUGUCUAUUUUUCUUGUCUCGCUUGUUUCAUUCUCCUCCUCUUGUGCCUAAUUAGAAUUGUUGCCUUUUUAGUUGUAACAUUCUUGAGAUACCACAGAUAAAAGGUUCACGAUUAGUGAUGGAUCAUCUUGUUGGAUUGCAUAUUGGAUUUGUUUUAGCCACCUUGGCAGGUUUCUCAAAUUCCUUGCUAUAGGGCCCACCUUUUUUAUUUUCAUUGAUUAUUCCUACACAACAGAGAAUGCAAAUAUAAAGUUAAAGAGGAUGACUUUAUAAUAUCAUUAUAGAUUGUCGUAGACCCAGAAUUUAUGUUUUUUAGGGUGAUGGACGACUAUGAAGCUCAAUGGCAAUGUGCCCGCUGUUCUUUGGAUAGGCGAGUACCUUGCUCUGCCGCUUGAGACCUGGGCCAGCCGGCCCUGCUUGUCCCAAUGGUGGGGCCACCACUGAUUUCAGACUAAUUCUCAAGUUUAUGAAGAUUCAUUAUUUUUAUUACUUCUCACCUUGCUAAUAUCUGUUUGUCUUAGAAGUAAAGGAGACCAACUUUCUGCAGAAAUCUUUAAUGAUAAAGAUGAUCUUAAGUUCCAAUCAUCACGUGAAGACACAAAUAUUGAGUAUUUCUUAGUUGCGGCCGGACGAAGCCAUCUCUACCUGAUCAAUGAGGUCAGAGUUGAAACAGACCCACAAGACAGAACUCAGCUCUGGAUAGGUCUUCGGGAGCUGAGUUAUUUUACCUCAGUUUACCCCCUUUUAGCAGCCACCAUUAAUUUUUCCUGGCACUCCUUUUGAACAUUGUUGAAAGAAAUCAGCAGCUGCCAUUAUUUUACAUCAGUUUACCCCCCUUUUAGCAAAAACAGACAACUCAUUGUCUCGCUACUCCUAAUUUUUUAUUGUGCUUUUGUGUAGGAGAAAUUGAUCCUUAGACUACAAAAACAACAGAACAUCAGGGAUGAUAUUCAGGUUGACAUAUCUGAAAAGAGCCCAAGAAUACUACAAAUGGGUUCGACAUGGGUUGAACAUAGGGGUUCUUGGCCUGAGCAUGCAAGUGUAUGGCCGGGACAAUCGUUACGUGAUUAAUAUGUUGGGAAAAUCAGUAAUGGUCGAGCAAACCGAAAAGGAGAGGCUGAAUCUUCUCCCGCAAAGUUACUGGUCAAGAUACUAUGUCGAAUGCGACAUUGCUACAGUAUUCCAAAAGGCAUUUGAAACUCCAAUGGCGUUAUCUGUUCACCUGAGGGAGAGAAUGAUAGGGUUCCAGCUUGACCGAAUUGACAUCGUAUUUUUGUAGUCCAACAUACGAGCCAUAUAAUUCUAUAGCCUCCAUGCAAAUCCCAUUUCUUUUCAAUUUUCAGUCAGAAGUCAACAUAAAUUUUUUGUGGUAGUAUCGUUUUAUUUUUGGAUCAAUGAACAGGGCUUUUUUCCCCACCUUUAAGCUCAUAUGGCUUUUGGUA